GAUGAACGCUGGCGGCGUGCCUAAUACAUGCAAGUCGAGCGAACGGACGAGAAGCUUGCUUCUCUGAUGUUAGCGGCGGACGGGUGAGUAACACGUGGAUAACCUACCUAUAAGACUGGGAUAACUUCGGGAAACCGGAGCUAAUACCGGAUAAUAUUUUGAACCGCAUGGUUCAAAAGUGAAAGACGGUCUUGCUGUCACUUAUAGAUGGAUCAGCGCUGCAUUAGCUAGUUGGUAAGGUAACGGCUUACCAAGGCAACGAUGCAUAGCCGACCUGAGAGGGGGAUCGGCCACACUGGAACUGAGACACGGUCCAGACUCCUACGGGAGGCAGCAGUAGCGAAUCUUCCGCAAUGGGCGAAAGCCUGACAGAGCAACGCGGCGUGAGUGAUGAAGGUCUUCGGAUCGUAAAACUCUGUUAUUAGGGAAGAACAGAUGUGUAAGUAACUGUGCACAUCUUGACGGUACCUAAUCAGAAAGCCACGGCUAACUACGUG
rnacentral:rRNA from 1 species